GUGCCAGCAGCCGCGGUAAUACGUAGGUGGCGAGCGUUAUCCGGAUUUACUGGGCGUAAAGAGCGCGUAGGCGGUUCCGCAAGUUGGGCGUGAAAGCCCCCGGCUUAACUGGGGAGGGUCGUUCAAUACUGCGGGACUUGAGGGUGGAAAAGGAGACUGGAAUUCCCGGUGUAGUGGUGAAAUGCGUAGAUAUCGGGAGGAACACCUGUGGUGAAGACGGGUCUCCGGGCCAUUUCUGACGCUGAGGCGCGAAAGCGUGGGGAGCGAACGGAAUUAGAUACUCCGGUAGUCCACGCCCUAAACGAUGGACACUAGGUGUGGUGGGUAUCGACCCCUGCCGUGCCGUAGUCAACACAAUAAGUGUCCCGCCUGGGGACUACGAGCGCAAGCUUAAA
rnacentral:rRNA from 1 species